rnacentral:tRNA from 1 species
GUUCUUGUAGUAAAAUACUUACAGUGGUUCUUCAAGUCAUUGAUCUUGGUUUAAGUCCGAGCAGGAAUU